rnacentral:rRNA from 1 species
CUGGCGGCGUGCCUAACACAUGCAAGUCGAGCGAUCUCUUCGGAAGAGAGCGGCGGACGGGUGAGUAACGCGUGGGUAACCUGCCCUGUACACACGGAUAACAUACCGAAAGGUAUGCUAAUACGGGAUAACAUACUUUUAUCGCAUGGUAGAAGUAUCAAAGCUCCGGCGGUACAGGAUGGACCCGCGUCUGAUUAGCUAGUUGGUAAGGUAACGGCUUACCAAGGCGACGAUCAGUAGCCGACCUGAGAGGGUGAUCGGCCACAUUGGAACUGAGACACGGUCCAAACUCCUACGGGAGGCAGCAGUGGGGAAUAUUGCACAAUGGGCGAAAGCCUGAUGCCAGCAACGCCGCGUGAGCGAUGAAGGCCUUCGGGUCGUAAAGCUCUGUCCUCAAGGAAGAUAAUGACGGUACUUGAGGAGGAAGCCCCGGCUAACUACGUGCCAGCCGCCGC